GACGAACGCUGGCGGCGUGCUUAACGCAUGCAAGUCGAGCGGUAAGGCCCUUUCGGGGGUACACGAGCGGCGAACGGGUGAGUAACACGUGGGUGACCUGCCCUCAGCUCUGGGAUAAGCCUGGGAAACCGGGGUCUAAUACCGGAUAUGACUCCAUGACGCAUGUUGUGGGGUGGAAAGCCUUGUGCGGCUGAGGAUGGGCCCGCGGCCUAUCAGCUUGUUGGUGGGGUGAUGGCCUACCAAGGCGACGACGGGUAGCCGGCCUGAGAGGGCGACCGGCCACACUGGGACUGAGACACGGCCCAGACUCCUACGGGAGGCAGCAGUGGGGAAUCUUGCGCAAUGGGCGAAAGCCUGACGCAGCGACGCCGCGUGAGGGAUGACGGCCU
rnacentral:rRNA from 1 species